CUGGUGAUACAAUGUGUUCACAGGAAACCUGAAGCAGAUCAAGGAAAAGCUGGGGGAGAUUAUAUCAUCACUCUUGUCAUGUACAACGCUGUCAACACACCAAAUCAUCUACGGCAGCCAAUCAGGAGAAACAAAGAGACUGAUUUAGCUGACUCAGCAUUGAGAACUGAAGACGUCAGUUAUGGACAAACAGCCAUCAGGACAAGGAGGUCCAGACUUUAAAUCAGAACCUGACAUUGACGGAAUUUAAGUCCACCAGUCCAACCAGUGCAAUCCUGCUGCUGUUCUCCAUCUGAUGCCCCCAACACUUCAGACCAGAGUACAACAUUCACAUGCAUAGAUUUCUCCUUCUUUAACUUGAGUUUUAAAAGUGUAUUUCCUUGUAAAAUAAGCACAGGUAGAAUAAAUGUGUAAUCUUUUUUAUGUCUGCAAUAAGUAAACUUAUUUGAUUGUUUGACCCUGCUGUUGUUCCUGUAGCAGGGAUAUGGUUUCUAAAUAAACCUUUGUCAACA